GGGCGCGUAGCUCAGCGGUAGAGCACCCGCCUUACAAGCGGGUGGUCGCAGGUUCGAAACCUGCCGCGCCCA
rnacentral:tRNA from 2 species